UACGUAGGGGGGCGAGCGUUGUCCGGAAUUAUUGGGCGUAAAGAGCUUGUAGGCGGCUUGUCGCGUCGACUGUGAAAACCCGCGGCUCAACUGCGGGCCUGCAGCCGAUACGGGCAGGCUAGAGUUCGGUAGGGGAGACUGGAAUUCCUGGUGUAGCGGUGAAAUGCGCAGAUAUCGGGAGGAACACCAGUAGCGAAGGCGGCUCGCUGGGCCAUUCCUGACGCUGAGACGCGAAAGCUAGGGGAGCGAACAGG
rnacentral:rRNA from 1 species